UUCACACGUAUGCCUUGGGUUUUAAUUGC
rnacentral:piRNA from 1 species